rnacentral:lncRNA from 1 species
AACUCGGUUUGAGACACUCUCAUUGACAGUGCGAGGCCUCUCCUGGACAGUGCUUUGGGGUACAACCUCUUUCAAUUUGGCAGCUUGAGUACCAGUAGUCUCUUUUGCAGAGACUGAUUUCAUGCUGGAGUUCAGAGAAGGUCUGGGAGAUAACAUCACAUUAACUUCAGAAAAUUUUCCCUGUAAAACAAGUAUGAUAGUUCCUCAGUAAGACCCCUUCUUCACACCCCAUUAAAGAAUCCAAUUGCUUUUCAGUAGAAUAAGCAAAUUCACCUCAGAGAACCCAUCCAUGGCAUCUGAGAACCCUCUUUUGUUGCCUGAAGUAAUCGUUCUCUGCAAAUUCGAGCAAUUCCCAUCCUUCAAAGGAUGCAAAGGAAACAGAGGUUUCUCAUC